rnacentral:rRNA from 1 species
GUCGAACGGUGAAGCCCAGCUUGCUGGGUGGAUCAGUGGCGAACGGGUGAGUAACACGUGAGCAACCUGCCCUCCACUUCGGGAUAAGCCUUGGAAACGGGGUCUAAUACCGGAUAUGAGCACUCAUCGCAUGGUGGGUGUUGGAAAGUUUUUCGGUGGGGGAUGGGCUCGCGGCCUAUCAGCUUGUUGGUGGGGUGAUGGCCUACCAAGGCGUCGACGGGUAGCCGGCCUGAGAGGGCGACCGGCCACACUGGGACUGAGACACGGCCCAGACUCCUACGGGAGGCAGCAGUGGGGAAUAUUGCACAAUGGGCGCAAGCCUGAUGCAGCGACGCCGCGUGAGGGAUGACGGCCUUCGGGUUGUAAACCUCUUUCAGCAGGGAAGAAGCGCAAGUGACGGUACCUGCAGAAGAAGCGCCGGCUAACUACGUGCCAGCAGCCGCGGUAAUACGUAGGGCGCAAGCGUUGUCCGGAAUUAUUGGGCGUAAAGAGCUCGUAGGCGGUCUGUCGCGUCUGGUGUGAAAUCCCGAGGCUCAACCUCGGGCUUGCAUCGGGUACGGGCAGACUAGAGUGCGGUAGGGGAGACUGGAAUUCCUGGUGUAGCGGUGGAAUGCGCAGAUAUCAGGAGGAACACCGAUGGCGAAGGCAGGUCUCUGGGCCGCAACUGACGCUGAGGAGCGAAAGCAUGGGGAGCGAACAGGAUUAGAUACCCUGGUAGUCCAUGCCGUAAACGUUGGGCACUAGGUGUGGGGCUCAUUCCACGAGUUCCGUGCCGCAGCUAACGCAUUAAGUGCCCCGCCUGGGGAGUACGGCCGCAAGGCUAAAACUCAAAGGAAUUGACGGGGGCCCGCACAAGCGGCGGAGCAUGCGGAUUAAUUCGAUGCAACGCGAAGAACCUUACCAAGGCUUGACAUGUACGAGAACACGCUAGAGAUAGCGGACUCUUUGGACACUCGUAUACAGGUGGUGCAUGGUUGUCGUCAGCUCGUGUCGUGAGAUGUUGGGUUAAGUCCCGCAACGAGCGCAACCCUCGUCCUAUGUUGCCAGCGGGUUAUGCCGGGGACUCAUGGGAGACUGCCGGGGUCAACUCGGAGGAAGGUGGGGAUGACGUCAAAUCAUCAUGCCCCUUAUGUCUUGGGCUUCCGCAUGCU